GACGAACGCUGGCGGCGUGCUUAACACAUGCAAGUCGAACGGUAAGGCCCCAGCUUGCUGGGGUACACGAGUGGCGAACGGGUGAGUAACACGUGGGUGACCUGCCCUGCACUUCGGGAUAAGCCUGGGAAACUGGGUCUAAUACCGGAUAGGACCUUGAUGUGGAUACUGUGGUGGAAAGUUUUUUCGGUGUGGGAUGGGCCCGCGGCCUAUCAGCUUGUUGGUGGGGUAAUGGCCUACCAAGGCGGCGACGGGUAGCCGGCCUGAGAGGGUGGACGGCCACAUUGGGACUGAGACACGGCCCAGACUCCUACGGGAGGCAGCAGUGGGGAAUAUUGCACAAUGGGCGGAAGCCUGAUGCAGCGACGCCGCGUGCGGGAUGACGGCCUUCGGGUUGUAAACUCCUUUCGCCAUCGACGAAGGGUUUCUGACGGUAGAUGGAGAAGAAGCACCGGCUAACUACGUG
rnacentral:rRNA from 1 species